CUUAUGUGUGUGUGCCUCCGCCGCCUGGACGCGCCAGUGUCAAAACACCAACAAAGAAGAAGAGUGGAACUUCCGGUCAUCAUUUAAAGAAUAAAAGCACAGAGGAAACAGAUGGUAGCAAUGUGAUGAAUGCAGAGUUCAAUCGUCCCUCUUCCGGGAUUCUCGUGAAGCAUUGACGUGAACUUGACGCUGCCGCUGGACGCGUGCCUCUUCUCGCCGGAAGUGUUGGUCCAGCAGCAGACAGACGUCCUGACAUUGUCAUCUCCAUUCAUCAUCUUUAUUGUACACACAAUGUCAAAGAGAUAGAGGCUGUAAUGGGGGAUUGAAAUAAAGAGCUACAUUAUAUUUAAUGGAAA